GACAAUUUCUGUAUUUAAAGUGGAAGAGGGAGCCAUCUUGUUCUUCAUUACAUUAUCCUUGGGCCAGGCCCGUAGCCAGGAUUUUGGUUUGGGAGGGGCUGGGUGUUGUCAUGAAUACUUUUUGAACCUUAAAAUGUUUUUUUUUAAUCCACUUUCAGUCAGACAGAGUACAUCAGGCACUUUCAAAGAAAGAAAUAAGACACACAGACCCCAGUACUGGUUUUAUAAUAGCUAGCUAUAUUGGUUAUACAGACAAAUGGGAAGCAUCACACAUAUACUUAGCAUUCACUCACAUACAUUCAGAGACGGUUCACCCGUAAGGCAAUCUAGUCAUUUGCCUGGAGCGCCAACACUUGGGGGGCACACAUGAGGCGCCUCCAAGUGCCCUAAAGCCAACUUUUUGUUGGCGCGCGCUGCCGCUUCCGGCGGGAGGCUGUGGCUACUCCCCGUAGCCAAAAGCAUAGCACCGGCUCUCUGCUCGCAGGGGAAAGAGGAUUCUUCCUCCUCCUCUUCCCCUUUCUUGGGGAAAGUGCGGGCAGUGGAAGGAGAAGUGGUGCGUUAGGGAAGCCAGGCAGGAAGAAGGGCAAGUGGCUGUUCCUCCCUCCCUCCCUCCCUCCCUUCCUCUCUCUCUGUAGGUCUCUCUCUCUCUCUAUCCAUGAUGCCGCCAUUCCUUCCCCCUCCUGCCUUGUCUUCCUCCCCACCUCCAUGCCCACCUUUCCUGCCAUCAAAACGGAGAGUAAGGGGGAUCGCAUUCCUCUUCGAAUGGCUGCUGUUCGCGGGGGGGGGGGGGGGCUUUCUCUUUAUGCUGGUCUCCUUCCCUUCAUCUAAAAAAACCCCUCUCUUCCUUCUCUUGUGCACCUUGAUAUCUUGGGUUAUAUGGCACACAGUCAUAUAACCCAGAAUAUCAAGGCAGAUAAUCACAUUAUCUGCUUUGAACUGGAUUAUAUAGAAGUGUGCACUCAGAAAACCCAGUUCAAAGCCAUGAGGAAAGUCUCCUCCAAGGGAGGAGAGAGAAAAAGAUAUCCAACCUGCUGGGGAGAGGACUUUUCCGUCCCUUUCAAAGUUCAUAGGCAUUGUGUUUCCUCAAGCUUGCCUUUCCUCCUUUCCUCCCCUGCAGUUCUGGCUCUUUCUCUUGUUUUCCUUGAAAGAAAAAUGGAGGGUUCUAUCUUCUUGCAAAAGGAGAAAGGGAGGAAAGGGUCCGUGAGUGCAGGAUCGGGGGGGGGGGGGGCUGACAUGUUUCCAGGGCUCCAAACUACAGCUCCCAUCAUGCACAGCACUCUCCUGGUGCUCUACUUCCUCUUCGUAGCUUUACACCCACUGGAGAAGGAGAGGGUUGCAUGGUGCCAUUCACACGCAAACUAUGCUGUACCGACCUUGAGCCAUGAGAACAGGCAGAAAGAGAAAACCAAGGAUAUGCUGCCAGAGAAAAACAAAGCCUGGGGCUAUGGAUUCCAUACUUGACCGGUUAAGUUGGACAAGCAGCCAGCAGCAUCACAAUUGAACAGAAGCCUUUGUAGUAAUAUUAUCUACAAGGAUGGUAUUAGAAUGAAAAUGUUUAUUGCCAUAGGAAAGACAAUGUCAUUAAUUACCAAAGUGAACAUCACUAGUAUUUUCAUCUUCUGCUAGAGUUUCUUCCUACAGUUAUUAUAGAAUUUCCAUGCCAGACUCGGAUGUUGGAUAUGUUUAGCUUGCUUCUGAAGCAGUUUUAGCAUAUUUCAAGAGGUCUAGCUGGUUUUGCAGUGUUACCACUCAGAGGUUUAUCCAUGCUCAUGUUUAUUUGCAUUUAUUUUGUUCUCACAAGCAAGAAUGAAAAACUUUAAAUCUCCUUAUGCCCAUGGGUUUCCUUGGAGUAAUGGUCCCACUUAGCAUAAAAGGAGCCUUGAAAUGGAACUGGAGGAAUCACCACUAUACAGGCCCGUAGCCAGGAUUUUGGUUCGGGAGGGGCUGGGAUUUUGGUUCAGGGGGGGGGGGGCUGAGUCUGAGUGAGAGAGGAUUUGCCCUAGCAAACCUUUUGUAUCGUUAUCCCAAUGCCUCCAAGCAUAUGGGAUAUAUUGAGCAUGGUGAUCAGAUCAUGAUAUGAAUAAGCAUAACAGUUUAAAUAAUAAAUAUAAGGCCUUCUCUCUCUCUCUCUCUCCCCCCCCCCCCCCGGCUACAUGCCUGCCACUGUAGGACUCCAGCAAGGUCAAGAAAAUCUGCAAGGCCAAACAUUUCUUGAGCAAAUGUUUCAGUAUAUCAUGGCUCUUUAAUGAGAAAGCAUUAGAAAAAUAAACACAAAGAAAUGAAAAUAACAAUGGUUUCCCACCAGAAAGGGAAAACAUAGUCAUAUAGAUGUUGCUUAAUAGUAUUUCUCAUUAGACCUAGCAACAGUAGUAAAUGGUAAAGAUUGAUUAAAGUUAUAGGUCAACAAUAUCUAGAGCAGUGGUUCUCAAUCUGUGGGUCCCCAGAUGUUUUCGCCUUCAGCUCCCAGAAAUCCUAACAGCUGGUAACCUGGCUGGGAUUUCUGGGAGUUGUAGGCCAAAACACCUGGGGACUCACAUGUUGAAAAUGACUGAUCUAGAGAAUCACAGAUCUCAGACCCUGGAUGUUUCAAAAAUAUAGCUUUUGAAACUUUGUAAUGUCCAACAUGCUGAUCAUGGAGCUGCUGCAGAUUUCUUCCAAGUGUUGGUCUUAAUGACGGAAUAUAUUUAGAGCUGUGCCCUGUAGGUUCUGUUAUUGAGGUUUUACACUCCAUGAGAGAAGAAGGAGAUGACCCUGUAUCGUUCAAGCCAUGGUUCAUUGAGGCCAAAGCCAACCAAACAUAGUCAGCAAAAGAAGAAAAUAAAUAUCAAUAGAUUUUUUUUUAUAAAAAAAUCACCAUUCAAGCCACUAACUUCCAUAUUCCUACUAGAGGUAGUUUACGACUUGUAUUUGGUCCAACUGACCAAUUUGUACAACUCAAAGCAAUGUAUUAAAGGAAAUAAAUUUGUGUAGAUUUUAUGCUCUGGAUUUUUCAGUGCAGUUUUUUUUACUUCAAACAUAAUCAUAUGCAUUUUUUACACUCACACACCACAUCUAAAAUGAUGCCGCUAUAGUAGCUAUCAUCAUUAUCAACAACAUCAUUACCACCACAUCAGAAUGGGAUUUGAAAUAGUUAAAUGUUCUACAUUAUCAACAAAUAUGGGUUAUAUUGUUGAAUUAGAAGGAAUAAAGCUCCUUGAUGGAAAUAAAAUUAAAAUCCUCAGUCAUGGUGGAAACUACAAAUAUUAUGCAGUAUGACAAGCUGAGAAUAUUCACCAUAACUGGGGUCCCAUCUACCCUGUUGGAUAAUGCAGCUUGAAACAAUCUGUUGAAGAAAGAAAAGACCCUUGAGCGAAUAUAUAAAAAAGCAAAGGACAAAUAUUAAUAAAUGUAUAUUUAGAGAAUUUAUUAAACAUUAAAAAGGUAGAAGUAGUAGACAUCUAAAAAAAGAAAAAAGGUAUAAUUGCCUUGAAGACUGGCAGAACAAAUCACCACUCGGUUAGUGCAUUAAAAGCAUAGAAAUAAAAAUUGAGACAGAGUAAUCUGUAAAUGGUUACACAAUGCUAUACUGGAAGAAAAAAAAAAGUGAAGUAUUUAUAUUUGCAGCUCAAAAACAAGCACUUUGGACAAAUAAUUUCAAAUAAAUACUGAAAAAAUCAUGGAUAGCAAAUGCUAUCUAUGUAAAGAAAAAUGUAAUUGAUGACCACAAUAUCAGUUUAUCAGAAAGACUAGAGAGAUUGAUUUUAAGAAACACCAUGAUAAAGUACUCACAAUGAUAAAUUGGAAUCUAGGUAAGUAAAUAGUAUUUCCAUUUGCAGACAACUGGUGGGAAUAUCAGUUUUUAAAAGUUGCCAUAAGUGGUGAAAUAAAAUUUUUAAGGGACUUUGAGAUUCAAAUAGAUCAUAAUAUGCCCAACUUAACUAUGGUUGGAAAAAUGUAUGUUUGGAAUAUAGAUGUGGCAAUCCUUCGGGGCAACAAAGGCAAAGAGAGAGAAUUAUUAUGAAAUGAAGAUUCAGACCUGCUUGGGAAAGAAAACAACAAAUAAUAAUAAUAAUAAUAAUAAUAAUAAUAAUAAUAAUAAUAAUAAUAACAACAACUUUAUUUUUAUACCCCGCCUCUAUCUCCCCAAAGGGGACUCAGGGCAGCUUACAGCAAUAUAAAACACAACAAUCAACAAAAAACAUGCACAAUUAUAAAAAUUUAAACAUUAGCCAAUAAAAACAAAUGACAAGAACUAAUAAAAACAUGGAUUAAAAUGGAGAGGUUGUAAAAGUAGAGUGGGUAAGGUGCACCAUAUAAAUAUUGUAAACACGAGGUAACUGAUAAAGUGCUGCAAAUUCUUGAAAGUGCAAAUUGGGAUGGGAAUAGACCCUGUGUCUAUAUCAAGUUGACAAAGGUAAAAAGUGCAAACCAGGACAAGAAUGGUCAAAGAUAUAGAUUGCUAUGGGGAUGAGCAAUCUUUAUCUAAAGGACUGAGUAAAGAGCCAGGUUUUCAAGCUCUUUCUGAAUGCUACCAGGGUGGGGGCUUGCCUGAUUUCCCUGGGGAGUGAGUUCCAGAGCCGGGGGGCCACCACAGAGAAGGCCCUCUCUUUCGUCCUCACCAACUGUGGGAGGUGGGAGCGUGAGGAGGGCCUCCCCCGACGAACGAAGAGAUCAUGCAGGUUCGUAGGGUGAAAGGCGAUCACUAAGGUAGGAGGGUCCCAAACUGUUCAGGGCUUUAUAGGUGAUCACCUGCACCUUGAAUUGGGUCCGGAAGGUGAACGGCAGCCAGUGGAGCUCCUUAAGCAGGAGGGUUGACCACUCCCUAUAAUUAGCUCCAGUUAGAAGCAAGGCUGCCGAACGUUGGACUAGUUGGAGUUUCUGGGCUGUCUUGAAGGGCAGCCCCACGUAGAGUGCAUUGCAAUAGUCCAGUCUAGAGGUAACUAAGGCAUGGACCACCAUGGCCAGAUCAGACUUCACAAGGUAAGGUCGCAGUUGGCGCAUGAGUUUUAAUUGUGCAAAGGCCCUCCCGGCCACUGCCGACACCUGAGCAUCAAGCGUCAGCGCUGAGUCCAGGAGGACCCCCAAACUGCGGACCUGCGCCUUCAGGGGAAGUGCGACCCCGUCAAGCACAGGUAGCCACCCAAUACCCCGAUCGGACAUACGACUGACCUGGAGGACCUCUGUCUUGUUGGGAUUAAGCUUGAGCUUAUUUGCCCUCAUCCAGCCCAUCACAGCCGCCAAGCACUGGUCCAGUACCCGAGGGGCUUUCUUGGAGUUCGGGGGAAAGGAGUAGUAGAGUUGGGUGUCAUCUGCAUAGAGAUGGCACCGAACUCCAAAACUCCAGAUGACCUCUC
ensembl:lncRNA